rnacentral:rRNA from 1 species
UACGUAGGGGGCAAGCGUUGUCCGGAAUCAUUGGGCGUAAAGCGCGCGUAGGCGGCCCUGUAAGUCCGUUGUGAAAGUCAAAGGCUCAACCUUUGAAAGCCGAUGGAUACUGCAGGACUAGAGUACGGAAGAGGCGAGUGGAAUUCCUGGUGUAGCGGUGGAAUGCGCAGAUAUCAGGAGGAACACCAAUAGCGAAGGCAGCUCGCUGGGACGUUACUGACACUGAGGCGCGAAAGCGUGGGGAGCGAACAGG